rnacentral:rRNA from 1 species
UUAAGCGACUAAGCGUACACGGUGGAUGCCCUGGCAGUCAGAGGCGAUGAAGGACGUGCUAAUCUGCGAAAAGCGCCGGCGAGGUGAUAUGAACCCUUGACCCGGCGAUGUCCGAAUGGGGAAACCCAGUGCAAUCCGUUGCACUAUCGUUAACUGAAUACAUAGGUUAACGAGGCGAACCGGGGGAACUGAAACAUCUAAGUACCCCGAGGAAAAGAAAUCAACCGAGAUUCCCCCAGUAGCGGCGAGCGAACGGGGAGCAGCCCGGAGUCUGAAUCAGCUUGUGUGUUAGUGGAACGGUCUGGAAAGUCCGACGGUACAGGGUGAUAGUCCCGUACACGAAAAUGCACAUGCUGUGAACUCGAAGAGUAGGGCGGGACACGUGGUAUCCUGUCUGAAUAUGGGGGGACCAUCCUCCAAGGCUAAAUACUCCUGACUGACCGAUAGUGAACCAGUACCGUGAGGGAAAGGCGAAAAGAACCCCGGCGAGGGGAGUGAAAAAGAACCUGAAACCGUGUACGUACAAGCAGUGGGAGCCUCUUUAUGGGGUGACUGCGUACCUUUUGUAUAAUGGGUCAGCGACUUAUAUUCUGUAGCAAGGUUAACCGUAUAGGGGAGCCGAAGGGAAACCGAGUCUUAACUGGGCGUUAAGUUGCAGGGUAUAGACCCGAAACCCGGUGAUCUAGCCAUGGGCAGGUUGAAGGUUGGGUAACACUAACUGGAGGACCGAACCGACUAAUGUUGAAAAAUUAGCGGAUGACCUGUGGCUGGGGGUGAAAGGCCAAUCAAACCGGGAGAUAGCUGGUUCUCCCCGAAAGCUAUUUAGGUAGCGCCUCGUGAACUCAUCUUCGGGGGUAGAGCACUGUUUCGGCUAGGGGGCCAUCCCGGCUUACCAACCCGAUGCAAACUACGAAUACCGAAGAAUGUUAUCACGGGAGACACACGGCGGGUGCUAACGUCCGUCGUGAAGAGGGAAACAACCCAGACCGCCAGCUAAGGUCCCAAAGUCAUGGUUAAGUGGGAAACGAUGUGGGAAGGCACAGACAGCCAGGAUGUUGGCUUAGAAGCAGCCAUCAUUUAAAGAAAGCGUAAUAGCUCACUGGUCGAGUCGGCCUGCGCGGAAGAUGUAACGGGGCUAAACCAUGCACCGAAGCUGCGGCAGCGACACUAUGUGUUGUUGGGUAGGGGAGCGUUCUGUAAGCCGUUGAAGGUGUGCUGUGAGGCAUGCUGGAGGUAUCAGAAGUGCGAAUGCUGACAUAAGUAACGAUAAAGCGGGUGAAAAGCCCGCUCGCCGGAAGACCAAGGGUUCCUGUCCAACGUUAAUCGGGGCAGGGUGAGUCGACCCCUAAGGCGAGGCCGAAAGGCGUAGUCGAUGGGAAACAGGUUAAUAUUCCUGUACUUGGUGUUACUGCGAAGGGGGGACGGAGAAGGCUAUGUCAGCCGGGCGACGGUUGUCCCGGUUUAAGCAUGUAGGCGGAGGUUCCAGGUAAAUCCGGUACCUUGUUAACGCUGAGGUGUGAUGACGAGGCACUACGGUGCUGAAGUGAUAAAUGCCCUGCUUCCAGGAAAAGCCUCUAAGCAUCAGGUAACACGAAAUCGUACCCCAAACCGACACAGGUGGUCAGGUAGAGAAUACCAAGGCGCUUGAGAGAACUCGGGUGAAGGAACUAGGCAAAAUGGUGCCGUAACUUCGGGAGAAGGCACGCUGAUGUGUAGGUGAAGCCCCUGCGGGCGGAGCUGAAAUCAGUCGAAGAUACCAGCUGGCUGCAACUGUUUAUUAAAAACACAGCACUGUGCAAACACGAAAGUGGACGUAUACGGUGUGACGCCUGCCCGGUGCCGGAAGGUUAAUUGAUGGGGUUAGCGGCAACGCGAAGCUCUUGAUCGAAGCCCCGGUAAACGGCGGCCGUAACUAUAACGGUCCUAAGGUAGCGAAAUUCCUUGUCGGGUAAGUUCCGACCUGCACGAAUGGCGUAAUGAUGGCCAGGCUGUCUCCACCCGAGACUCAGUGAAAUUGAACUCGCUGUGAAGAUGCAGUGUACCCGCGGCAAGACGGAAAGACCCCGUGAACCUUUACUAUAGCUUGACACUGAACACUGGUCCUUGAUGUGUAGGAUAGGUGGGAGGCUUUGAAGCGUGGACGCCAGUCUGCGUGGAGCCAACCUUGAAAUACCACCCUUUAAUGGCUGGUGUUCUAACGUAGACCCGUAAUCCGGGUUGCGGACAGUGUCUGGUGGGUAGUUUGACUGGGGCGGUCUCCUCCCAAAGAGUAACGGAGGAGCACGAAGGUUGGCUAAUCCUGGUCGGACAUCAGGAGGUUAGUGCAAUGGCAUAAGCCAGCUUGACUGCGAGCGUGACGGCGCGAGCAGGUGCGAAAGCAGGUCAUAGUGAUCCGGUGGUUCUGAAUGGAAGGGCCAUCGCUCAACGGAUAAAAGGUACUCCGGGGAUAACAGGCUGAUACCGCCCAAGAGUUCAUAUCGACGGCGGUGUUUGGCACCUCGAUGUCGGCUCAUCACAUCCUGGGGCUGAAGUAGGUCCCAAGGGUAUGGCUGUUCGCCAUUUAAAGUGGUACGCGAGCUGGGUUUAGAACGUCGUGAGACAGUUCGGUCCCUAUCUGCCGUGGGCGCUGGAGAAUUGAGGGGGGCUGCUCCUAGUACGAGAGGACCGGAGUGGACGCAUCACUGGUGUUCGGGUUGUCAUGCCAAUGGCACUGCCCGGUAGCUAAAUGCGGAAGAGAUAAGUGCUGAAAGCAUCUAAGCACGAAACUUGCCCCGAGAUGAGUUCUCCCUGAGACUUUAAGUCUCCUGAAGGAACGUU